GAUGAACGCUGGCGGCGUGCCUAAUACAUGCAAGUCGAGCGAACAGACGAGGAGCUUGCUCCUCUGACGUUAGCGGCGGACGGGUGAGUAACACGUGGAUAACCUACCUAUAAGACUGGGAUAACUUCGGGAAGCCGGAGCUAAUACCGGAUAAUAUAUUGAACCGCAUGGUUCAAUAGUGAAAGACGGUUUUGCUGUCACUUAUAGAUGGAUCCGCGCCGCAUUAGCUAGUUGGUAAGGUAACGGCUUACCAAGGCAACGAUGCGUAGCCGACCUGAGAGGGUGAUCGGCCACACUGGAACUGAGACACGGUCCAGACUCCUACGGGAGGCAGCAGGAGGGAAUCUUCCGCAAUGGGCGAAAGCUUGACGGAGCAACGCCGCGUGAGUGAUGAGGUCUUCGGAUCGUAAAACUCUGUUAUUAGGGAAGAACAAAUGUGUAAGUAACUAUGCACGUCUUGACGGUACCUAAUCAGAAAGCCACGGCUAACUACGUG
rnacentral:rRNA from 1 species